GAUGAACGCUGGCGGCGUGCUUAACACAUGCAAGUCGAACGAAGCACUUUAUUUGAUUUCCUUCGGGACUGAUUAUUUUGUGACUGAGUGGCGGACGGGUGAGUAACGCGUGGGUAACCUGCCUUGUACAGGGGGAUAACAGUUGGAAACGGCUGCUAAUACCGCAUAAGCGCACGGCAUCGCAUGAUGCAGUGUGAAAAACUCCGGUGGUAUAAGAUGGACCCGCGAUGGAUUAGCUAGUUGGUGAGGUAACGGCCCACCAAGGCGACGAUCCAUAGCCGACCUGAGAGGGUGACCGGCCACAUUGGGACUGAGACACGGCCCAAACUCCUACGGGAGGCAGCAGUGGGGAAUAUUGCACAAUGGGCGAAAGCCUGAUGCAGCGACGCCGCGUGAGCGAAGAAGUAUUUCGGUAUGUAAAGCUCUAUCAGCAGGGAAGAUAAUGACGGUACCUGACUAAGAAGCACCGGCUAAAUACGUG
rnacentral:rRNA from 1 species